rnacentral:rRNA from 1 species
CCUACGGGCGGCAGCAGUAGGGAAUAUUGCUCAAUGGGGGAAACCCUGAAGCAGCAACGCCGCGUGGAGGAUGAAGGUUUUCGGAUUGUAAACUCCUUUUGUUAGAGAAGAUAAUGACGGUAUCUAACGAAUAAGCACCGGCUAACUCCGUGCCAGCAGCCGCGGUAAUACGGAGGGUGAAAGCGUUACUCGGAAUCACUGGGCGUAAAGAGCGCGUAGGCGGGAUAGCAAGUCAGAUGUGAAAUCCUAUGGCUUAACCAUAGAACUGCAUUUGAAACUGUUAUUCUAGAGUAUGGGAGAGGUAGGUGGAAUUCUGGGUGUAGGGGUAAAAUGCGUAGAGAUCAAGAGGAAUACUCAUUGCGAAGGCGACCUGCUAGAACAUAACUGACGCUGAUGCGCGAAAGCGUGGGGAGCAAACAGGAUUAGAUACCCGAGUAGUC